rnacentral:rRNA from 1 species
UACGUAGGUGGCAAGCGUUGUCCGGAAUUACUGGGUGUAAAGCGCGUGUAGGCGGCAGACCAAGUCGGCGGUGAAAGCGCCCGGCUCAACUGGGCGAGGUCCGUGGAAACUGGUCAGCUGGAGUACGGUAGAGGCGAGUGGAAUUCCCGGUGUAGUGGUGAAAUGCGUAGAGAUCGGGAGGAACACCUGUGGCGAAGGCGGCUCGCUGGGCCGGUCCUGACGCUGAGACGCGAAGGCGUGGGGAGCGAACGGG